rnacentral:rRNA from 1 species
CGUGGGUAACCUGCCCAAGAGAUCGGGAUAACACCUGGAAACAGAUGCUAAUACCGGAUAACAACGGAUGAUGCCUAUCAACUGUUUAAAAGAUGGUUCUGCUAUCACUCUUGGAUGGACCUGCGGUGCAUUAGCUAGUUGGUAGGGUAACGGCCUACCAAGGCGAUGAUGCAUAGCCGAGUUGAGAGACUGAUCGGCCACAUUGGGACUGAGACACGGCCCAAACUCCUACGGGAGGCAGCAGGC